UACGUAGGCAGCGAACGUUGUUCGGAGUUACUGGGCGUAAAGAGUACGUAGGCGGUUCGCUAAGUCUGGUGUGAAAUCUCCUGGCUCAACUGGGAGGGUGCGCCGGAUACUGGCGAGCUCGAGUGCGGGAGAGGGAAGCGGAAUUCCUGGUGUAGCGGUGAAAUGCGUAGAUAUCAGGAGGAACACCUGCGGUGAAGACGGCUUCCUGGACCGUGACUGACGCUGAGGUACGAAAGCGUGGGUAGCAAACAGG
rnacentral:rRNA from 1 species